rnacentral:misc_RNA from 1 species
UUUCCGUAGGUGAACCUGCGGAAGGAUCAUUAAUGAGUUAGGGUCUUUCAGGCCCGACCUCCAACCCUUUGUUAAAAUACCAUGUUGCUUCGGCGAGCCCGUCUUGAACCGGACCGUCGGAGGUUAUCUUUAACCUCUGGCCAGUGCUCGUCGAUGGCCCCAUUCAAAAAACUCAUUUAACCAUGUUAAAUCUGAACUUUGUCAAAAUAAACUAAAACUUUCAACAACGGAUCUCUUGGUUCUG